rnacentral:lncRNA from 1 species
CCUUUUGGACGGUGGAAGCCAGGUAACCAAGAUGUCGCCCGGGGGCUGUUAGUUCAGGUGGCGGAGUCCACUAGAAUCCACCACUGGAAGAUUUCUAACAUAGAGUAGUUGGUAAAUGCUAGGAUGCUAGAUUCUGUGCCCAGUGAUUGUGUUAUUCGUUUGGUUCUAAACUAAGAUUGUCUGGUGUUUUCCAUCUCGUGGCAAUUCAACUGAGCUCCAGGGAAAGGUAACCACGGCAGAGUGUGGGUUUGGAAGAGUGCGGCGCCCCAGCUAGCCAUGAAAAUUUAGGAGUGCUGAGCAGGUUUGGCAGCAGCCAGCUGCGGGGAGAGAGCUAUCUUGGAGAUCUGGAGAGGCCUUGGCAAAGAACAACAUUCGGGCUCAGUACCGGGCUGGGACAAGACUGAGACCACGAGCGGUGCCUAGCUGGCGAUAGCGUGUGCUGUAUUUUAUUUACUACGCACUUCAGAGAAGGAUUUUUAAUUUCAGAUUAUUUGCAUAUACUAAUGGGAAAUCUUUUUACUGCUGUUAUUUUUGUUGGGUUGUUUGAUUUUUUUUUUUUUAAAAGGCAGGGUCUUAGGUAGUCUAGGCUGGUCUCAAACUCUAUAUAGUAGACGCUGUUCUUCUUGCCUCUCCUCUCUCUAGUGCUGGGAUUACAGGUGUGCGCCACCAUACCCGGCAAAGCUAUUCUUCUUGCCUCCCCUCUCUCUAGUGCUGGGACACUAAAGAGACCGCCACACCUGCCCCUUAAAGUAUCCAAAACUAAAGUCCCACUGUUUCAUGCAUACUCUGAAGGUUCGACUGAAAAAUGUUCCCAUAGCCUGGGGCAUUUGGACACUUGGUCCCUAGCUGGUCGCUGUCUGGGGAGGUUUAGGUGGUAUAGCCUUGUGUGUCCCUGGAGGCGGACUUAGAAAUUAAAAAAUUAAAAACUUCCCAUCAGCUCCAUUUCCCUCUCUGCUUCCGGCUUGUGUUUGAAGAGGUGAGCGCUCAGCUUCGGGCACCUGUAGCCAUGUCUGCUGCUUGCCUCCUUGCCACGACAGGCUCAUUCCUCUGGAACCGUCAGCCCAAAUAAAUUUCUUGUAGAAGUUGCCUUAGUCAUAGUGCUUUAUCCCAGCAAGAAAAAAGUAAUCUACACACCUUUCUGUAAGCAGCCCGAAGGUGACUUUAAUGCCUUUUUUCACUGUGCUUGUGUCUUGAUCUCAGCCCAUUACAUUAGGUAUAGAAUUUGCUACCCCUAUUAUCAAAUCAAUGCUCAAAAACUUGCAUUCUGGGCUGGUGAGAUGGCUUAGUGGGUAAGAGCACCAAUUGCUCUUCCGGAGGUCAUGAGUUCAAAUCCCAGCAACCACAUGGUGGCUCACAACCAUCUAUAAUUAGAAACAAAUAAUAAAGAAUCUAUGGGCCAGAUGGAGCAGGAGAAAGGGAAAGAGGGGAGGGAAAAAAGUUAAAAAUUGGAAAAAAA